rnacentral:lncRNA from 1 species
CCCUGGAGUUGCAGAUACGGUGAGCAGUAAUUGUCCUAUUCUGUAUCUCUGAGGCUUUCGCUUGUCAACCACAUCUUCUUUUGGAUAAUGAAUACUACAUCGUCCCCACCAUGAUCUGAAUCUGAACUGGAAUCUGUUGCCACUGUGUCCCAGUGCAAAGCCACUAAAUACUUCUUUACAAAAUCAACUACUGCUUGUUUGUCCCGAAUGAUGAUGAAACCACUAGGCCUGAGCAUACGGUCCAUCUCCAGCAACAGAUCCUCAGCACUGCAGCCUUUCCUCUCAAUGUCCGAAAACACAGUCCAAGCAUGGAGUAAAUCAUA